AGAGUUUGAUCAUGGCUCAGAUUGAACGCUGGCGGCAGGCCUAACACAUGCAAGUCGAGCGGUAGCACAGAGAGCUUGCUCUCGGGUGACGAGCGGCGGACGGGUGAGUAAUGUCUGGGAAACUGCCUGAUGGAGGGGGAUAACUACUGGAAACGGUAGCUAAUACCGCAUAAUGUCGCAAGACCAAAGUGGGGGACCUUCGGGCCUCAUGCCAUCAGAUGUGCCCAGAUGGGAUUAGCUAGUAGGUGGGGUAACGGCUCACCUAGGCGACGAUCCCUAGCUGGUCUGAGAGGAUGACCAGCCACACUGGAACUGAGACACGGUCCAGACUCCUACGGGAGGCAGCAGUGGGGAAUAUUGCACAAUGGGCGCAAGCCUGAUGCAGCCAUGCCGCGUGUGUGAAGAAGGCCUUCGGGUUGUAAAGCACUUUCAGCGGGGAGGAAGGCGNNNNNNNNNNNNNNNCGAUUGACGUUACCCGCAGAAGAAGCACCGGCUAACUCCGUGCCAGCAGCCGCGGUAAUACGGAGGGUGCAAGCGUUAAUCGGAAUUACUGGGCGUAAAGCGCACGCAGGCGGUCUGUCAAGUCGGAUGUGAAAUCCCCGGGCUCAACCUGGGAACUGCAUUCGAAACUGGCAGGCUAGAGUCUUGUAGAGGGGGGUAGAAUUCCAGGUGUAGCGGUGAAAUGCGUAGAGAUCUGGAGGAAUACCGGUGGCGAAGGCGGCCCCCUGGACAAAGACUGACGCUCAGGUGCGAAAGCGUGGGGAGCAAACAGGAUUAGAUACCCUGGUAGUCCACGCCGUAAACGAUGUCGAUUUGGAGGUUGUGCCCUUGAGGCGUGGCUUCCGGAGCUAACGCGUUAAAUCGACCGCCUGGGGAGUACGGCCGCAAGGUUAAAACUCAAAUGAAUUGACGGGGGCCCGCACAAGCGGUGGAGCAUGUGGUUUAAUUCGAUGCAACGCGAAGAACCUUACCUGGUCUUGACAUCCACAGAACUUNNNNNNNNNNNNNNNUUGGUGCCUUCGGGAACUGUGAGACAGGUGCUGCAUGGCUGUCGUCAGCUCGUGUUGUGAAAUGUUGGGUUAAGUCCCGCAACGAGCGCAACCCUUAUCCUUUGUUGCCAGCGGUUAGGCCGGGAACUCAAAGGAGACUGCCAGUGAUAAACUGGAGGAAGGUGGGGAUGACGUCAAGUCAUCAUGGCCCUUACGACCAGGGCUACACACGUGCUACAAUGGCAUAUACAAAGAGAAGCGACCUCGCGAGAGCAAGCGGACCUCAUAAAGUAUGUCGUAGUCCGGAUUGGAGUCUGCAACUCGACUCCAUGAAGUCGGAAUCGCUAGUAAUCGUAGAUCAGAAUGCUACGGUGAAUACGUUCCCGGGCCUUGUACACACCGCCCGUCACACCAUGGGAGUGGGUUGCAAAAGAAGUAGGUAGCUUAACCUUCGGGAGGGCGCUUACCACUUUGUGAUUCAUGACUGGGGUGAAGUCGUAACAAGGUAACCGUAGGGGAACCUGCGGUUGGAUCACCU
rnacentral:rRNA from 1 species